GGUAAAGGAAAGUGUAAGAGUAACAAGAAUGAGGGUGGAAAUUCUAAGCAAGAAUCUCAGAAGAAAGGAGGUGAGAGUGAUGGCAAAGGAAAGAAGAAAUCCAACGAACACAUUCAAUGCUAUAACAGUAAAAAAUGGGGUCACUUUGCAGAUGAAUGUGUGAGUUCUAAGGUGCCUAGGAAGAUAAAUGAAGAGGCAGAGUUAGCUUGUGACUCGGAUGAAGAAGUUGUUUCAUUAGUGGCAAC
rnacentral:lncRNA from 1 species